rnacentral:rRNA from 1 species
UACGUAGGGGGCUAGCGUUGUCCGGAAUCAUUGGGCGUAAAGAGCGUGUAGGCGGUUCGGUAAGUCCGCUGUGAAAGUCGGGGGCUCAACCCUCGGAUGCCGGUGGAUACUGUCGAGCUUGAGUACGGAAGAGGCGAGUGGAAUUCCCGGUGUAGAGGUGAAAUGCGUAGAUAUCGGGAGGAACACCAGUGGCGAAGGCGACUACCUGGCCUGUUCUUGACGCUGAGGCGCGAAAGCUAGGGGAGCAAACGGGG